AACGAACGCUGGCGGCAGGCCUAACACAUGCAAGUCGAGCGGACCUUUCGGGGUCAGCGGCGGACGGGUGAGUAACGCGUGGGAAUAUGCCCUUCUCUACGGAAUAGUCCUGGGAAACUGGGGGUAAUACCGUAUACGCCCUUUGGGGGAAAGAUUUAUCGGGGAAGGAUUAGCCCGCGUUGGAUUAGGUAGUUGGUGGGGUAAUGGCCUACCAAGCCGACGAUCCAUAGCUGGUUUGAGAGGAUGAUCAGCCACACUGGGACUGAGACACGGCCCAGACUCCUACGGGAGGCAGCAGUGGGGGAUCUUAGACAAUGGGGGCAACCCUGAUCUAGCCAUGACGCGUGAGUGAUGAAGGCCUUAGGGUUGUAAAGCUCUUUCAGCUGGGAAGAUAAUGACGGUACCAGCAGAAGAAGCCCCGGCUAACUCCGUG
rnacentral:rRNA from 1 species